rnacentral:tRNA from 1 species
UAUGUUUAAGUAUUUUAUGUAUGAAAGUUUUUGAUACUUUAGGAAUUAGUUAAUUCUAAUAAACAUAU